UUCAUUUUCAUACCAGUUUAGGAAAGCUUUUUUACACACCUCUUUUGUCGGGCAGGUGCGUAGGAUAUGAUCAAAAGUAGCAGAUCAAAAGCUUAGAGAAAGUCCCGCACACUGGCCAUUACACAAGCAAUAAU